GCUGGAAUAGCUCAGUUGGUUGGAGCGUGUGGCUGUUAACCACAAGGUUGGAGGUUCAAGCCCUCCUUCUAGCA
rfam:Gossypium hirsutum cultivar TM-1 unplaced genomic scaffold scaffold516.1, whole genome shotgun sequence